rnacentral:rRNA from 1 species
UACGAAGGGGGCUAGCGUUGCUCGGAAUCACUGGGCGUAAAGCGCACGUAGGCGGAUCUUUAAGUCAGGGGUGAAAUCCUGGAGCUCAACUCCAGAACUGCCUUUGAUACUGGGGAUCUCGAGUCCGGAAGAGGUGAGUGGAACUCCGAGUGUAGAGGUGAAAAUUCGUAGAUAUUCGGAAGAACACCAGUGGCGAAGGCGGCUCACUGGUCCGGUACUGACGCUGAGGUGCGAAAGCGUGGGGAGCAAACAGG